rnacentral:rRNA from 1 species
UACGGAGGGGGCUAGCGUUGUUCGGAAUUACUGGGCGUAAAGCGCGCGUAGGCGGAUCUGCAAGUCGGGGGUGAAAUCCCGAGGCUCAACCUCGGAACUGCCUUCGAUACUGCGGGUCUUGAGUCCGGGAGAGGUGAGUGGAAUUCCUAGUGUAGAGGUGAAAUCCGUAGAUAUUAGGAAGAACACCAGUGGCGAAGGCGGCUCACUGGCCCGGUACUGACGCUGAGGCGCGAAAGCGUGGGGAGCAAACAGG